rnacentral:lncRNA from 1 species
UGUGUUUUAUGUCUUCUACGAACAGUACCUGACCAUCAUUGACGACACUAUCUUCAACCUCGGUGUGUCCCUGGGCGCGAUAUUUCUGGUGACCAUGGUCCUCCUGGGCUGUGAGCUCUGGUCUGCAGUCAUCAUGUGUGCCACCAUCGCCAUGGUCUUGGUCAACAUGUUUGGAGUUAUGUGGCUCUGGGGCAUCAGUCUGAACGCUGUAUCCUUGGUCAACCUGGUGAUGAGCUGUGGCAUCUCCGUGGAGUUCUGCAGCCACAUAACCAGAGCGUUCACGGUGAGCAUGAAAGGCAGCCGCGUGGAGCGCGCGGAAGAGGCACUUGCCCACAUGGGCAGCUCCGUGAGUACCCUGAGCAGGGCCACGCCGGCAGAGUCGCACCACAAAGUAAUCCUCCUCAGUGACUGAAGAGUCUGGAUCCUGUACUUACAAAGCAGCUUCUAAGGAUUGCAAGCUUUCAGGCAAUUCAUGAAUUAGCUGCCACAUCGUGGACAGAACGGACGUUCUGUGGAACUGUACCUGUUGGUACGGCUCCUUUUUAGGUGGCAGUGUGCUGAAGCAGGAAAAUAACAGACAAGUUAAACAUGAGACAGCUGGCAGUCUUUCCCAUUUAAAAUGCAGGGGAGCCCGGGCCAGAACCCAGCGUGUGAUGUGCGGUUGGUGCCUGGAGAGUCGUCUUGGUUCAACUCUACACCCUGGCUUAGCCUAUCUCUUUACCACUGUAGAAAAUACCUGGUAAAGAGUAAAAACUAAAACUUUGUUUCGUAACACUUUUAAAUAUUUAAGUUUUCACCUGAGAAUAUAAAGAAAGAUAAUCAAUUGGGAGACACGAUGCAGUGUCUGUGCAGAAUACACAGCUUUUAACUUGGUCAUACCUCUCCCCCAGGAUCAUAAGGCAGCAAAUAGUGUUAGGUAGUAGAUGAUGCUACCUGGGUUCAGUUCCCAUUGCUUUGAACCUUGAAUAUUAAGAAAUCCCCAUAAGGGCUGGCCACGGUGGCUCAUGCCUAUAACCCCAGCACUUUGGGAGGCCAAGGCUGGCGGACCACUUGCGGCCAGGGGUUCGAGACCAUGGCCAACAUGGUGAAACCCCAUCUCUACUAAAAACACAAAAAUUAGCCAGGCAUGGUGGCGUGCACCUGUUUAAUCCCAGCUACUCAGGAGGCUGGGGCAGGAGAAUCACUUGAACCUGGGAGAAAUCCUUGUAAGGAAGUGUUUUUGUUCAAUUACAGGUUGGUAAAAGUGGUUUCUAACACAGUAUCUCUUCUUUUAGGUGUUCAGUGGAAUCACACUUACAAAAUUUGGAGGGAUUGUGGUGUUGGCUUUUGCCAAAUCUCAAAUUUUCCAGAUAUUCUACUUCAGGAUGUAUUUGGCCAUGGUCUUACUGGGAGCCACUCACGGAUUAAUAUUUCUCCCUGUCUUACUCAGUUACAUAGGGCCAUCAGUAAAUAAAGCCAAAAGUUGUGCCACUGAAGAGCGAUACAAAGGAACAGAGCGCGAACGGCUUCUAAAUUUCUAGCCCUCUCGCAGGGCAUCCUGACUGAACUGUGUCUAAGGGUCGGUCGGUUUACCACUGGACGGGUGCUGCAUCGGCAAGGCCAAGUUGAACACCGGAUGGUGCCAACCAUCGGUUGUUUGGCAGCAGCUUUGAACGUAGCGCCUGUGAACUCAGGAAUGCACAGUUGACUUGGGAAGCAGUAUUACUAGAUCUGGAGGCAACCACAGGACACUAAACUUCUCCCAGCCUCUUCAGGAAAGAAACCUCAUUCUUUGGCAAGCAGGAGGUGACACUAGAUGGCUGUGAAUGUGAUCCGCUCACUGACACUCUGUAAAGGCCAAUCAAUGCACUGUCUGUCUCUCCUUUUAGGAGUAAGCCAUCCCACAAGUUCUAUACCAUAUUUUUAGUGACAGUUGAGGUUGUAGAUACACUUUAUAACAUUUUAUAGUUUAAAGAGCUUUAUUAAUGCAAUAAAUUAACUUUGUACACAUUUUUAUAUAA